rnacentral:rRNA from 1 species
GAACUGAAGAGUUUGAUCAUGGCUCAGAUUGAACGCUGGCGGCAGGCCUAACACAUGCAAGUCGAGCGGUAGAGAGAAGCUUGCUUCUCUUGAGAGCGGCGGACGGGUGAGUAAUGCCUAGGAAUCUGCCUGGUAGUGGGGGAUAACGCUCGGAAACGGACGCUAAUACCGCAUACGUCCUACGGGAGAAAGCAGGGGACCUUCGGGCCUUGCGCUAUCAGAUGAGCCUAGGUCGGAUUAGCUAGUUGGUGAGGUAAUGGCUCACCAAGGCGACGAUCCGUAACUGGUCUGAGAGGAUGAUCAGUCACACUGGAACUGAGACACGGUCCAGACUCCUACGGGAGGCAGCAGUGGGGAAUAUUGGACAAUGGGCGAAAGCCUGAUCCAGCCAUGCCGCGUGUGUGAAGAAGGUCUUCGGAUUGUAAAGCACUUUAAGUUGGGAGGAAGGGCAGUUACCUAAUACGUAUCUGUUUUGACGUUACCGACAGAAUAAGCACCGGCUAACUCUGUGCCAGCAGCCGC